rnacentral:rRNA from 1 species
GGAACCUGUCCUGUAAUUGAUAAUCCACGAUUUAAAUUACUUAUUUUAUUAAUUUACAUAUCGUCGUAGUUUGAAUAUUUUUAAAAAAAUAUAAUAUUCAAGAUUUUUUUUAUAAAGUAAUUCAGAUCAAGGUGUAGUUUAUAAAUAAGAAGAGAUGGGUUACAAUAAAUUUAUUUAAAUGGAAGAUAAUUUUAAAAAUUAUUUGAAGGUGGAUUUGAAAGUAAUUUAAAUUAAAUAAUUUAAAUGAUUUUAGCUCUAAAAUAUGUACAUAUCGCCCGUCAUUUUCAUUAUAAAGUGAAACAAGUCGUAACAUAGUAGGUGUACUGGAAAGUGUACCUAGAAUGACAAAUUAGAGCUUGAUCUAAAGCAUUUUAUUUACAUUAAAAAGUUUAUUGUGAAAAUCAAUAUGAUUUGAUUAAAUUUUAUUAUUAAAAUAAUAAAUUUAAAAUUAUUUUAUAAAAAAAAUUUAAUGUUUAAUUAUAAAAAUGAAAAAAUUUAUUUAAUUAUAGUAAAUUAGUAUUGUGAAAGAAUUAAUAAAAACAUGGCCUUUUGAUAAUAAUUUAAGGUUUAACCUGCCCAAUGAAAUUUAAAUGGCCGCAGUAUUCUAACUGUGCAAAGGUAGCAUAAUCAUUUGUUUUUUAAUUGAAAGCUGGAAUGAAAGGUUGAAUGAGAAAAUAACUGUCUCUAUUUAAUUUUUUUUGAAAUUUAUUUUUAAGUUAAAAAGCUUAAAUAAUUUUUGAAGACGAGAAGACCCUAUAGAGUUUUAUAGUUUUGAAUAUAAAAAAUUUAGAAUUUAUUUUUUUUUUGUAAAAAAAAUUAUUUAAUUGGGGUGAUUAAAAAAUUAAAUUAACUUUUUUUUUAUAUUUACAUAAAUUAAUGAUUAUUUGAUCCUUAAAAAGAUUAAAAGAUUAAAUUACCUUAGGGAUAACAGCGUAAUUUUUUUUUAGAGUUCAAAUUAAAAAAAAAGAUUGCGACCUCGAUGUUGGAUUAAAAUAAAUAAUUGGUGUAGAAGCUAGUUUCAAACCGGUGUGAGCCAGGUUGGUUUCUAUCUCAAAUUAGUUAAUAUAUUUUAGUACGAAAGGACCAAAUAUAUAAUUAAAAAUUUUUUAUUUGAAUAAAAUUAAAGAUUGUUUUGGCAGAAUAGUGCAAUAGAUUUAGAAUCUAUAAAUGUAAAUUUUUACAAAUAAUACUUGUUAAUAAAAGAUUUUUUUUUAAUUUUAUUAUCUUGUUUAAUUUUAUCUUUAAGAGUAAUAAUUGGUGUAGCUUUUUUGACUUUAUUAGAACGUAAAGUUUUAGGAUAUAUUCAAAUUC